AAACCGUCUGCCAAACCAACACAACAUUCAAAAUUGAAAUCCAACACCUACAGAACCUUUACUUCAUACAGUCAACACGGAUCCAGGAAAAUACAAAAAUGAAGCAGAAAACUAACGUUUAAAAUCAACGAUGAUACGGGGAACUAUGACGAGGCACAAGCAAACCGUAGCAAUAUAAAUCAAACAAACAGAAAACGAACUCAAACAAAUCGGUGAUGCAAUAAUCAAAAUAAACAUUUGAAAACCCCCAUCCCAAACAGUCUCGUACCCCAUUUCAUUUUCAUUCAUAGUCCAUUAUUUUACAUAUACAAGGCGAAAUGAGAUCAACGACGAGAGUUAGCAGUGCAAAAAGGAAGAAGAGAGAAAAAAACUACCCAAGUGAAUAGUGGCUUGCCGAGUUUAAUAAGAUUUUCUUGCUCAGUGGACAUGGUUGAAGGAUGACUUUAAGAAGAAAAUGGAUAUAUGAACAAAUUGUUUAAUGGUCUACCUUGGUGGUGAAGGAGAGAAAUGGCUAUGGAAUUAUUUGAGAUUUUGAAGUGAUUUAGGGUUUAAGAGUUAGGUCUGAGGCACCCUUUUUUAUUCAAAUUGUAACACAAGCUUAAAUUUUUCAAACUUGAAUUAC